rnacentral:rRNA from 1 species
GACGGAGGAUGCAAGCGUUAUCCGGAAUGAUUGUACGUAAAGCGUCUGCAGGUGGCAGUUCAAGUCUGCUGUCAAAGACCGGGGCUUAACUUCGGAAAGGCAGUGGAAACUGAACAGCUAGAGUAUGGUAGGGGCAGAGGGAAUUCCUGGUGUAGCGGUGAAAUGCGUAGAGAUGUGGAGGAAUACCGAUGGCGAAGGCAGCCCCCUGGGAUAACACUGACGCUCAUGCACGAAAGCGUGGGGAGCAAACAGG